rnacentral:lncRNA from 1 species
UAGUAAGGAAAUGAUUCUUAGAGCUCAGCAGAGAGCUAUACCUAAGAGGUGAGGACUCUAGAGAAAGUAAUAGGAGGAGGAGAAAAGGAACUCAUGCUUCUCAGGUUUUUUUUUUUUUUCUGUAGAAUAUGAAGCAAGAUUUUCAGCUAGGAGGAUGGGGUUAGAGGGAGCCAUGGGAGGUUUCAGGAGGGAUGAAAAGGUUUGGAAGAGUCACUGUAGAAAGAAGAAUUAAUGAAUCAAUGAAGGAAAUGUAGAUGGGUUGUCUAGUAGCAGUGAGGACCAAGUUGAGGUUAUGUAACAUAAACUUGUAGUGGAUCAAGUCAGAAAGAUUGCCUGAUUUUCUCCACCUUAUUCAACCACGUCAGGAGUGACGGAAGCAGAUAGUGGGAGCGACCCAAGGCUGAGGACCAACCUAUUUGGGGAUCUAAGAGGGCACACUCAGAAGUUCAAAAAAACAGCUCCAGUAGUCCGAGUUGUCCAUCAUGUGCAAAAGCCAGGAAUGAAGACAAAGAAAAAAGAAAUGCUGAGGGAAAGACAGAUGAACCUCUUACAUCUGAACUUGCAGGGCAGCAACGUUUGCUGCCACCAUUUUCAUGGCAAGACUUGAAAGAGGAAUGGAACAGACCAUUUUCACCUGCUUUGUCAGAGGAGGAAAUAGCUAAAAAAAAUGAUUCCAAUGGCUUACUCUGCCCAUCUUGCAAUGUGCUAGGAGCUCAGCGAAUCUGCAAGGAAGAAUUCAAGUGGUGUAUCCACCAGAACAAGAGUUGCCUCACUAUUUACGGAAACACAAAAAUGGACAGGCAGGGUUCUAGGCUCCAUGGAUUAAAAGCCUGAACCAGGGGGUUAGAAGAGAAGGCAAGAGAAAAGAGAGAAGGGAAAGCUCAUUUCUGGUUCCUUGUGGGUGAGUCUUACUAUGACAUAAUAAUGAAGAGCUGUGGCACUGAAGAAGAUUGUCAAGGAGAAAUUAAGACUUUAUAUGGUUUCCCAUUCCAGACUAAGGAGAAAAUGUGUGUGAAUGCUAGACCCUUUUUUGAAUCCAAAGGCCCAGUUUUGUUCUCCUUUCCAGCUCUACUGGUCUUCCUUCCAUGGGUGCUGCUUUUCGGAGUAACCUUAUGGCAGAUUUAGCCAGCCAGCCACUAAAUCACAGAAACUGAAAUUUCUAAUUAG